UCCCCCGUGGCGCAAUUGGCUAGCGCGUCUGACUGUUAAGCUGCAAUCAGGAGGUUGGUGGUUCAAGCCCACCCGGAGGAG
rnacentral:tRNA from 1 species